rnacentral:rRNA from 1 species
AUUGAACGCUGGCGGCAGGCCUAACACAUGCAAGUCGAACGAGUGGCGGACGGGUGAGUAAUGUCUGGGAAACUGCCUGAUGGAGGGGGAUCACUACUGGAAACGGUAGCUAAUACCGCAUACCAUCAGAUGUGCCCAGAUGGGAUUAGCUAGUGGGUGGGGUAACGGCUCACCAAGGCGACGAUCCCUAGCUGGUCUGAGAGGAUGACCAGACACAUUGGAACGGAGACACGGGCCAGAUUCCGACGGGAGGCAGCAGUGGGGAAUAUUUGACAAGGGGCGCAAGCCUGAUGAAGCCAUGCCGCGUGUAUGAAGAAGGCCUUCGGGUUGUAAAGUACUUUCAGCGGGGAGGCGUUACCCGCAGAAGAAGCACCGGCUAACUCCGUGCCAGCCGCCGCGGUAAUUC